ACGCCGCGUGAGUGAUGAAGGUCUUCGGAUCGUAAAACUCUGUUAUCAGGGAAGAACAAAUGUGUAAGUAACUGUGCACAUCUUGACGGUACCUGAUCAGAAAGCCACGGCUAACUACGUGCCAGCAGCCGCGGUAAUACGUAGGUGGCAAGCGUUAUCCGGAAUUAUUGGGCGUAAAGCGCGCGUAGGCGGUUUUUUAAGUCUGAUGUGAAAGCCCACGGCUCAACCGUGGAGGGUCAUUGGAAACUGGAAAACUUGAGUGCAGAAGAGGAAAGUGGAAUUCCAUGUGUAGCGGUGAAAUGCGCAGAGAUAUGGAGGAACACCAGUGGCGAAGGCGACUUUCUGGUCUGUAACUGACGCUGAUGUGCGAAAGCGUGGGGAUCAAACAGGAUUAGAUACCCUGGUAGUCCACGCCGUAAACGAUGAGUGCUAAGUGUUAGGGGGUUUCCGCCCCUUAGUGCUGCAGCUAACGCAUUAAGCACUCCGCCUGGGGAGUACGACCGCAAGGUUG
rnacentral:rRNA from 1 species